rnacentral:rRNA from 1 species
AUAAUAAUAAGUCAAAUCUGCUCCAUGAUAAAUAAAUAAAUAGCCGCAGAAAUUUAACUGUGCUAAGGUAGCAUAAUCAUUUACCUUUUAAUUAAAGGUUUGUAUGAAUGAUUUAACAUUUAAUUUAUUUUUUUAUCAAAUUUUAUUUAAUUUAAAUUAAAAAUAAAAAUGUUUUUAUACAAAAAAAAGACGAUAAGACCCUACUGAACUUAACUUAAGUUAAGCUGGGGAAGCUAAUUAAAUAUAAUUUUAAUUUUAGAUCUCAGAAUAAUUUCUAAUAUAGUUAAAUUUAAAAGUUACCAUAGGGAUAACAGCGUAAUAUAAUUUUAAAGCUCAUAUUAAAAAUUAAGCUUACGACCUCGAUGUUGAAUUAGAAUUUCUUAUAAACGCAAUCGUUUAUAAAGUAGGUCUGUUCGACCUUUAAUAAUCUACA